GCCUCGUUAGCUCAGUUGGUAGAGCAGCUCCCUCUUAAGGAGAUGGUCGCAGGUUCGAAUCCUGCACGGGGCA
rnacentral:tRNA from 1 species